GACAUUUCUCUAUUCUUUUUCUUUCCAACAAGAUUUUCUAAUGGGAAAAUCUGUGAUGUGAAAGAAUGUGUCAGAGCGAAAUCAAAACAAACAAAAAUACUUCGCAAAUCAGUUCAUUUUGGUUUCGCAAAUUAAUUUGCAAAUUGCAACACUUUUCAAAUCUAGCUUCUUUAAAUAAUAGCAAUUGUAAUAGUUCGGAGCGGUGUUUCUUUCGUUCCUGUGUUAGUACCAGUCGCUGUCAAAACACCUUUGGAAAGAACUGACAAGCAACCAUCCCAGGCUGGUGGAUAGAGUCAAAGUCAACGGAAACGGUGAUGUGGCAGUUUUGGGAUGAAUAACGGACCAGGCAAAAUUCAACCAAAAAAGUUCCAACCAACAUUCCGCGGGACCCUGUAUACAUCAAGGAAGGCGAUACCAGUUCCGCCAUGGGAUGAAUGAUUAAAUAUAGGAAUGUCAACGGAAGGAAAUCGUCAAAUAAUGUGGAUUGCAAUUGCAAAAAGAAACGAGAUCAGAUAAAGAGAUGGCGAGCUACAGUACUAAUGCGUUUCUUCUAGUGUUGUGGGCAACGCUACUGCGAUCGGUCCGUGUUGCAGUGAAGUGAAAAUUGCAAUGAUAAUAACGACGUUUGGCAUUUAGGUAGAUAGCACUUCUUAGGAAGAACAACGACAAACGUAGCAACACGCCAGCAAUCGCUUGUGAUGCUUUCGGAGGAGGAUUUUGAGCACCUUAUUUGUAGGAGUGACUGCAGUAUCUGACCAAAAUGUUUAAUGACUUUUUAUUCGUGAGCAAAUGAUUACCGAUAAAUGGAACUAAUAAAAAUCGUACCCCAAAUGCAACAGAUGCUCGAUUCAAGACAAGAACAAUUGAAUGCCUGAAUUCACUAUUAUUCAAGAUUAAUCUCCUUCUAUGAAGUAAUAAAUUUAAGUUGGAAAUAAAG